UCUGCAGUUUCCCUCAUGAUAGAUGGAGUACAUAAUGAAGCUGUUAUAUUCGGUAAAGCGAAUGAUUAAAGGAAUUGUGAGACGAAACGUCUUCAACCUAUUCUCAAACUUUCAAUGAGUAUGACGUUUCGUUUGCUUGAAUGAAGCGUAGACGUUGAAUGUGUGCUCCACGUACGCCAUUUUUGGUGAACAGAAGUAACGCUGUGGGAGGAACCAAACGUUGAGUAAAAGUGUAAGUCUUCCGCUCAAGACCAUCCAUUUUCAGAGCUAUUUGGUUUUCAAUAAAGA
rnacentral:ncRNA from 1 species